rnacentral:piRNA from 1 species
CUUGGAAAAGAUUUAGUGCUGGUG